GAAGAAGAACAUUGGGCUGUGUCAGAGGAAGUAUCUGUUUCUCUCCACACAGAAAAGGAGAUUUCAUACACAGUGCCUGAUGUACCAGAGAGGGCUAUCAUUGAAGAAAGAGUACCAAUUUAUCCUCCUAAAAAAAUGGCAAGACCACCAGCCAAAGUGCCUGAAGUACGCAAGACAGUUGUCCGAAAAGAAAAGGCGUACGUUGAAGUUCCUCAGUACGAAGAGGAGGAAGAGAUUCCGAGAUAUGAGGAGGAGGAGACCACCAGAUAUGAGAAGGAGGUAAUCCAUUACAAGGAGGAAGUUCGCCAUUAUGAAGAAGUUAGUCACUACGAGGAGGAAGCUCCUCAGUAUGAAGAGGAAGAAGCUCCUCAGUAUGAAGAGGAAGAAGCUCCUCAGUAUGAAGAGGAAGUCAUCCAUUAUGAAGAAGAAGCUGCUUAUUAUGGAGAGGAAGUUGCUGAAUAUGAGGAGGAAGAGCCACAGGUCCCCCAGUAUGAAGAGAAGGCUCCCCUACCAGCUAGAGGUAUACUUUAACUUUAGGGUUUGUGUGCGAAAAACUGGUAUCUUUUC
rnacentral:lncRNA from 12 species